UCCGAGUGAAGAUUUAUCGGUAUGAGAUGGCGAUGCGUCCCAUUAGCUUGUUGGUGAGGUAACGGCUCACCAAGGCAUCGAUGGGUAGGGGUUCUGAGAGGAAGGUCCCCCACAUUGGAACUGAGACACGGUCCAAACUCCUACGGGAGGCAGCAGUGAGGAAUAUUGGUCAAUGGACGAAGUCUGAACCAGCCAAGUAGCGUGCAGGAUGACGGCCCUCUGGGUUGUAAACUGCUUUUAGUUGGGAAUAAAAAGAGGGACGUGUCCCUUAUUGUAUGUACCAUCAGAAAAAGGACCGGCUAAUUCCGUGCCAGCAGCCGCGGUAAUACGGAAGGUUCAGGCGUUAUCCGGAUUUAUUGGGUUUAAAGGGAGCGCAGGCGGCGGCGUAAGUCAGUUGUGAAAUCGUGCGGCUUAACCGUGCAAUUGCAGUUGAUACUGCGUCGCUUGAGUGCACACAGGGAUGUUGGAAUUCAUGGUGUAGCGGUGAAAUGCUUAGAUAUCAUGAAGAACUCCGAUCGCGAAGGCAUAUGUCCGGAGUGCAACUGACGCUGAGGCUCGAAAGUGUGGGUAUCAAACAGGAUUAGAUACCCUGGUAGUCCACACAGUAAACGAUGAAUACUCGCGGUUGGUUCGUUAGAAUCAGCCGCCAAGCGAAAGCGUUAAGUAUUCCACCUGGGGAGUA
rnacentral:rRNA from 1 species